UGUCUUUUUAUCUUCUCUUUCUACAGUUGGUGCUUCAUCAUCAUCAUCUCUGUGUUUCUGCUGUAUAUCUCAGGUGCUUUCUCUGAUCCUGUGAGGGUAAAAGUUGAGGGUUUUGUUGGAGACUCAGCUAUCUUGUCUUGUUCCAUCCCUGAAAAUGAGAUUCAAGACAAAAUAGAAAAAUUACACGUAAUCUGGAGAGACGAUAAAGGCAAGAAAGUGUGUGACAUCAUUGGAGGCAGCAUAGCUGAAGACCAAGAGCCAGAGUACAAGGUCAGAGUCGAAACGUUCCCAGAGGAGUAUAAGAAGGGCAACUUCUCCAUCAAACUCAGCAGUCUUCAAAAAAAUGAUGCAAGGAAGUUCCACUGUUACAUAACAAGGGACACAUUUCAGAAAGAGGUCAUCACAGAGCUUCAUGUCAGAGGUAUGUAUAAACUUCAAAUUCUGAAUAGUCUGCAGUUGUUAGUGACUGAUCGAACUAAUGUUAAAACUCAAGCAACAGUGUUUGGGCCCUCUGUGGGGAAAGAAAAAAAAACAUCGUUGAUGUUGGAAAUCUGAACUCUUAUAUCAAACCGACUGUAAAAAGUCUGGGAAUAAUUCUGAACUCUUCCUUUAAGUUUGAUCAUCACAUCAAUAAAGUCAAGCUUUUUUUAAUCUGAAACUUUUGUCUAGAAUAAAGCCGUUUCUGUCACCCAAAGAAUUUGAAAGAGUAACACAUGCUUUCACUUUAUCUCAAUUGAACUGUUGUAAUUCUUUAUGCUGGAAUCUCACAGUCCUCUUUUACAAGGCUUCAAAUGGUGCAAAACGCUUCAGACAGAUUUCUAAUGGGAGACUCUUUAUUGGUAGCCGGUUCUUCAUAGACUUGAUUUAAAAUAUUGAUGUUUGUUUUUAAAUCUCUUAAUGGUCUAGCACCAUCGUACCUGUCUUAACUUUGAAAUCUGAACACAUCAGUCAGGUGCCUGUGGUCCGCAAACAAAUGUGUGUUUGCCGUUGUUGGACCUAGGCUCUGGAACAGUCUUCCUUUUUAUCUGAGAUUCAUGUCCUCUGUCCAUGAGUUUAAAUAUAAGUAAAAGUCUUAUCUUCUGGACCGAGCUUUCAGCAGUUCUUAAUUAUAUGUUGUUGUUUUUUUUUUUAUUCUUUUCUUUCUUAUUUGUAUCUUAGUUUUAUAUUCUGUAAAGCACUGUGGUCAACUUCUGUUGUGUUUAUUUGUGCUAUAUAAAUAAAUGAAAUGACAAACUUUGCCAUUGUCGUUUUGUCUUACAGAUAAACCAGAAGGAAGAGGAAACCAUGGAGCACUAUCGUUGAUUGUGUUGUUGAUCAGUUUUCUUUUCACUCACAUUUUGCCAUUUAUCUGAACAAUAUUUUAUUCAGUUCUGUAAGUGUUGCACGGUUGAGUACAGAUCUGAUCAAUCAGCCAAAGUACAGUAUGGUCAUUGUGUGUAAAUUUCACUCUACAUUUCAGAAAAUAACAUGUUGAUCCUUGGUUUUUCAGUCAUUACAUUACAUUACAUUACAUACAUUAUUCCAUUCCAUUCAUUUUGUUCAUCUUAGUCAUUGCACAACUUGGCAAACCUUGUAUGCAUCAGUGUUUAUACUAAAGAUGUAACAGUUUCAGUCAUUGUCAUUUCUGUCAGUCGUGUGUGCAAUUAAAACUAUAUAACAUCAACCCUGUUAAUAAACUGAAAAAUAAAAUAUUUUACAUAUCUGACUAAGCCUCACUUUACUUGUGUUGCAUGUAAGUCAUGAAACAUUUGGAUUACAAAAAAUUACAGCUAGUUGCCAGAGCAACAUUUCUCAUUUGAAUUUGUACAUACAUGAAAGAUUAAAAAACCAUUAACAAUAACAAACAUAGUAAUAAAACUUUAAAAUUAAAUCUAAUACAGAAAACAUAUUUAUUAGUAUUCAAAAUCUUAACUAAAUUAAUUAUUAAUAAUAUUCCAGUAAAUCUUAAAUGGCACUGAAUGUUUGUCAAUAAAUUUGCCACAUAGCACUUCAUCAAAUAUCAAAUACUGAUAAAUGUUGACUCAUAUAGAGAAGGUGCACUUAGAAAAGAGUAGUUUUGACAAAUAUUUUUAAAUGUAAAAUAAUGCAUGCUUAUUAUAAGAUGUAAGUGGCUUAGAAAAACUGCUUUACUACAACGUGUUGCAAAAUGGAGGCUGUCUUGUUGAGAUCGUUUGACCAGAUGAACUUAUUUUUAUCUCAGUAACCCCCCAAUGACUCUACAGUUUCAGUUGUGGAAGGUAGAAAGAUAAAAUGGAGCAAGGACUACUCUUAACACAAGACAUGAAUUGUUUUGCUUCUGGUUAUUUUGCUUUAUAAUCUGCUAUUUUGUUUGUCCAACUGGUUAUUAAUAGUAUUAUUUUAUAAUCUGGUUGGUUGUCAGACUUUU
rnacentral:lncRNA from 1 species